rnacentral:rRNA from 1 species
CUAACGCGUGAAGUAGACCGCCUGGGGAGUACGGUCGCAAGAUUAAAACUCAAAGGAAUUGACGGGGACCCGCACAAGCGGUGGAUGAUGUGGAUUAAUUCGAUGCAACGCGAAAAACCUUACCUACCCUUGACAUGGUCGGAAUCCUGAAGAGAUUUGGGAGUGCUCGAAAGAGAACCGGCGCACAGGUGCUGCAUGGCUGUCGUCAGCUCGUGUCGUGAGAUGUUGGGUUAAGUCCCGCAACGAGCGCAACCCUUGUCAUUAGUUGCUACGAAAGGGCACUCUAAUGAGACUGCCGGUGACAAACCGGAGGAAGGUGGGGAUGACGUCAAGUCCUCAUGGCCCUUAUGGGUAGGGCUUCACACGUCAUACAAUGGUACAUACAGAGGGCCGCCAACCCGCGAGGGGGAGCUAAUCCCAGAAAGUGUAUCGUAGUCCGGAUUGUAGUCUGCAACUCGACUACAUGAAGUUGGAAUCGCUAGUAAUCGCGGAUCAGCAUGUCGCGGUGAAUACGUUCCCGGGUCUUGUACACACCGCCCGUCACACCAUGGGAGCGGGUUUUACCAGAAGUGGGUAGCCUAACCGCAAGGAGGGCGCUCACCACGGUAGGAUUCGUGACUGGGGU